GGAAAAGAAACUAACUAGGAUUCCCUUAGUAACGGCGAGUGAACCGGGAUGAGCUCAAAUUUAAAAUCUGGCGUCUUUCAGGCGUCCGAGUUGUAAUCUAUAGAGGCGUUUUCCGCGCCGGACCGCGUCCAAGUCUCUUGGAAUAGAGUAUCAAAGAGGGUGACAAUCCCGUACUUGACGCGACAACCGGUGCUCUGUGAUACGUUCUCAAUGAGUCGAGUUGUUUGGGAAUGCAGCUCUAAAUGGGUGGUAAAUUCCAUCUAAGGCUAAAUAUUGGCGAGAGACCGAUAGCGAACAAGUACCGUGAGGGAAAGAUGAAAAGCACUUUGGAAAGAGAGUUAAACAGCACGUGAAAUUGUUAAAAGGGAAACGAUUGAAGUCAGUCGUGUGAAAGGUAUUCAGCCGUCUCUGGCGGUGUAUUUGCCUUUCACGGGUCAACAUCAGUUUGAUCCGGUAGAAAAAGGCAGGAGGAAGGUGGCACCCUCGGGUGUGUUAUAGCCUCUUGUCAUAUGUGCCGGACCAGACUGAGGAACG
rnacentral:rRNA from 1 species